ensembl:lncRNA uncharacterized LOC110079944
UGUGUGUGCGUGCGCUGGAUUAUUGGUUGUGUGUGUGUAUGUGUAUGUGUGGUUAAUGCUAACGUCGAAAGAGUCGAAGUGCUGCUUGCUGCCUGAAUGCCAUUCUUGUACAAAGUGAAACAAACAACACACUGAGGUUUCUCCAUGGCCUUUAUACGUGAGGUUUCUAUACCAGGGAUGGCAUACCGUGAUUGGUAUUGAGUUGCACUGUAUCUCUUAUGCUGUGUUGUGGCAACACAUACGUGUCUUGGUGAUGCAAGACUGGUGGCUGUUUUUACAGAGACCUCUAUUUUCUAGACUCCUUCCCUUUCAAAAUCACGGGGUAACUUAUAGCCUUCCUUAAGCACAUUUCAUGAGGAAUGGAAAUGGAGGCCACUGAUCAAGCUACAAGCAGUCGGCUCAGACCUCGGCAAACGGAUAAGGAAAUAUUAUCUGAGUUUGAUGGUUCCUCAAAAGAGGAUGAAGAUUUCCUUGCUGGGCUAAACCCAGAAGAGAAGGAAUGCUUAGAGUACUUUCUACAAACCAUCAGCGCUCUGGAUGAGGAUAUCUCAGAAGAGGUUGGUGAAGGAUGUCAUGAAGAAAUGGCAGGCUCUGUAGGUUCUGAGGACCAAAGCAAGAGCAGUUUGGACCCCAGCAUGCAGCGACCGACGUCUCUGGAGGCAGCCCCAGCAACACCUGUUCCUUCCUCAGCAGCUUCCAGGAGUAAAACUAUCAGGUCCCUUUCUCAAGACGUCGGUGACAGCUCUCUGAGAAGCAGGAGCAACUCUGAUGAUAUCAAACCUGGAGAGUCUUAUAGAUCAAGAAACUCUCAUCCGAUCCGGUUGAGAAAGUUUGACACGAUCGUGAGGUCAGGGGUUAAUGUUCAGGAGCUCCGCUCUCGUUUCCUCCUUCACCUUGAUAGCUCUGCCAGUGUUGAGAGGGAACCCAGAGAAGGAGGUGCUAGAACAAUGAAUCAACUGGGACCAUUGACUGGCAUCCAGAAGACCCCUAAAAACGAAGCCCUGCAGAAAUUAGGCCUCCUCCAGAGAAAUUCAAGUGCUCCAAAUAUGAAAAUCCCUCUGGUGCCCAUGACAGGUCAGCAGGACCAAAUUUCAUUGGGUGGAAGCCUGGGCCCUGAAAGAAACGCAGGUUCCAUCAACACACCUGAAGAACCUUUAUAACAUCUGUCACUCCAAGGACUUGUGUUUCCUCUUAGUAAACCUCUGGGAGUGAGAGGAAAACGUAAAUUCCUCCAGUACGGAACAAAGAACAGUUUCUUCCCGAUAUACUAAACAAUCUUCUGCACAACAACUUGGAGUCUGGGAAAAAAAUCACUUUCGGGAUCACAGUUCCCAGAAUCCCCCAUGCUAGCUAGAGAAUUGUAUGAGCUGUUGUCCAAAAAGAUAAAUUCUGUGGUAAAUUUACCACAGGCACUCUGGUAAAUCAUGACUAACUAAUGGAACCAAAACAGCCACAUCAUAUGAUGUGUGAAGGCUAAUUUGGUAGCAACACAUGAUACUUCUUCCUGUGAAUGGCAGCUGCCUGCCUGCGGUGUUUGAUUCCACCACCAGACUUCACAUUGAAUCCUUAUCUUCCUUGUGUUGCUUCCUGAUUUUGUUUUGUUUCAUUUUGUACAAAUGCACCUGUCACUUUGCAUAACUUGCAAUAAUUAUUUGGAAGCCUAGCAUUCCAAGUCAGAGCAGAAUGUACUGGCUGAUUUUCUUCUACAGUAUCUGUAAUUUUCUGCUAUCUAGAAUAAUUACACCCAAGGACACGGUCUUCUGAUUUGUUUGGUUUUUUAAAAAAAAAUAAAGAUUGUAUUUGACUUUUGAUGUGCUCUAGG